rnacentral:rRNA from 1 species
CUUAAAUUGAAGAGUUUGAUCAUGGCUCAGAUUGAACGCUGGCGGCAGGCCUAACACAUGCAAGUCGAGCGGAAACGAGUUAUCAGAACC